UUAGUUUUCAAGUUGUCAUUUAUAAAAAAAACAACGAAAAAGGAGAGUACAAUUUAUUAGAAUAUCUGGAGUCAAAAAACUCGUAUAAAAAAUCCAAUCAGAUUACACAGACAAUUCCACAAUUCUCUGAACAUAAUCGAGCUUCGACACCUUCUCGGAAGGCUCGGUUGGAAAAUCUUUUACCGCCACUACUCCGAUCAGGUUCCUCAGCCAUGUCGCAACUUCGUAUCUUUUUAUAAACAUAAGAAAAAAAAAAUACAAGUCAGAAAAACUCACAUCAAAUAAUAACAAAAAUAAACCUACAAUUAUUUUCGAACAUAGUUAAUAAAGCUAAGAACAAAACCACUAAUCUAUAGAAUAUAUAACAAAAUAUCUUACACAAUGUUCAAUAUAGAUGAUUCGCCGGCGAAACGAAUUUGUCUACACAAAAAUCUGUAAUAAAUUCGUUAGAAACCUCAAAUAAGAGUCUAAAAAAUCUUUAAUCCUAUUUUCAGAAAACUCAAUGAAUCUAAAAAAAAAGCCAUAUUAAAAAAUAACUUUUGAUAAUAGUGAAUGAUUAUUACCAUAAGAACCUGAAUAAAAUGCGAUUAAUAAUACUAUAAGGAAUAUCAAUGAAUCAACAAAAGAAAAUAAUUUGGUUCGAAAAAAGAUAAUAAGGAAUAACAAUGAAUCAGAUUGAAUCAAAGGAAUAUAAACGAAUCAAAAGAAAAAAAGAAUUUGGUUCCACAACAUCAUACUUUAUUUAACAAUAUUAUUGAACUUCCUAGGAAUCGAACAAUAUUAUGGAUUCAUAAUAUUUCCCAGCAAUAGAAAACUCUAUCAUAAUUAUGGAUUCACAAUGGUUUCAAUGGAUUUCGUCAGGAUAAUAUGUUUAUAGUUUAAUCGAUAUUUAAUUACACAAAAUAUGAUCAGGAAAUUACCUUCUUCAUCUCUGCGAUCCAUAUAGUGUAUACAGAAAAUACGAGAUGGUAGACAAUUUCGUAUAAUCGAAUAACUGUGACGCAGCAAAAAGGGCGAACGGUGAAUAAUAUGAGAAUGAAGGUUUUCGACGAACAGAAGCAUAAUUCAUUGAAAUAGCUAAAGAGAUAUUCUUCUACAAUUUUUGCUAAAAAGUAGGGAUACGAUAAUUAAUUUAACUUACCUUAAACGUUUGAUCAAGAAUGACCAAUAUGUCAUUUUCGAUUUUUUAAUUAAUUGACUGCAAUAUAUAUAUCAAUCAAAAAGCAAUACAUAAUUAAAUAUGCAGCGUUGGAUCAGUUGGAAUGAAUGUACAAGAUUUAUUCUUUC
rnacentral:lncRNA from 1 species